rnacentral:rRNA from 1 species
AUUGAACGCUGGCGGCAGGCCUAACACAUGCAAGUCGAGCGAGCGGCGGACGGGUGAGUAAUGUCUGGGCAACUGCCGGAUGGCGGGGGAUCACUACUGGAAACGGUAGCUAAUACCGCAUACCCUCAGAUGUGCCCAGAUGGGAUGAGCGAGUAGGUGGGGUAACGGCUCACCUAGGCGACGACCCCUAGCUGGUCUGCGAGGAUGACCAGCCCCACUGGAACUGAGACACGGUCCAGACGCCUACGUGAGGCAGCAGGGGGGAAUAUUGCACUAUAGGAGCAAGCCUGACGCAGACAUGCAGCGUGUGGAAAGAAGGCCGUCGGGUUGUAAAGCAUGGUCAGCGGGGAGGCGUGACCCGCAGAAGAAGCAACGGCUAACUCCGUGCCAGCCGCCGCGUAAUUC